GACGAACGCUGGCGGCGUGCUUAACACAUGCAAGUCGAACGGAAAGGCCCUGCUUUUGUGGGGUGCUCGAGUGGCGAACGGGUGAGUAACACGUGAGUAACCUGCCCUUGACUUUGGGAUAACUUCAGGAAACUGGGGCUAAUACCGGAUAGGAGCUCCUGCUGCAUGGUGGGGGUUGGAAAGUUUCGGCGGUUGGGGAUGGACUCGCGGCUUUCAGCUUGUUGGUGGGGUAGUGGCUUACCAAGGCUUUGACGGGUAGCCGGCCUGAGAGGGUGACCGGCCACAUGGGGACUGAGAUACGGCCCAGACUCCUACGGGAGGCAGCAGUGGGGAAUAUUGCACAAUGGGCGGAAGCCUGAUGCAGCAACGCCGCGUGCGGGAUGACGGCCUUCGGGUUGUAAACCGCUUUCGCCUGUGACGAAGCGUGAGUGACGGUAAUGGGUAAAGAAGCACCGGCUAACUACGUG
rnacentral:rRNA from 1 species